GUUCCAAGUUGGCAAUCAAUCGUUAGAACUGAAGCCACCACACCAAUAAAUGCACGAUCACCAAGGGUCUAUUCAAUGAUUCCAUCUGAUGACGCGACAGCGAUGGACGCAACGGAGUCAGAUUCAUCCAUGCCAGCUGACGAUACCAAAGCAUUGGACGCAACAGCACCAAGGGGCAGUUCAAUGAUUCCACCUGAUGGCGCGACAGCAAUGGACGCAACGG